CGGAAUUAUACGCGCCGUCAAGUUCCACGCCACCUUUGUCGGCGAGGGUCUCCACUCUCACCUCCAAUUUCAUUACCUUUUCAGCAACACCUUUUAUGUCCCACUUCAUCUCCUCCACUUUUUGAUGUAAAUCAAGUAAUGGAGAGUGUGAAGUAAGACAUAAAAGACGUUGGAAAUAGUGUUAUUAAAUUGGAGGUGAGGGUGGAGACCCUCGCCAACAAAGGUGGCGUGGAACUUGACGGCGCGUAUAAUUCCG
rnacentral:miRNA from 1 species